ensembl:lncRNA
UUCAGAAUUAAAUCAAAUUUUAAGACUGCAAAUUAUAGUAAAGUUGCAAGUUAUAGUAUUUCUACUUAAACAUUUAAUGGGUUGCCAUAGAGAACUCUACUGUGCUUAAAUUAAAAUGGCACUAUCCAAAAGAACUAAGCUAAUAUUUCUUGGCUACAGAAACCAGAUGAAUACAAUCAGUGCACUCAGUGGGAAAUGAAAAGGGAAAAUAUUCUCUUGGUUUGGGUGAUUUCAGGUGUGUUCACUUGCCCUUUUGUGUGAUCUUUACGUGUAAAAUGUCUUUUAUUUCCUAUAUGCAAGUUUGUUUUGUGAACACUGUUUUCUUUGUUGUCUAUUUUGAACCAUCUUCGUUUCCUGCAGUUUCCAAAAAAUCAGCUGACUUUUAGGUAGUUGAUGCUCUAGACGUUAUUGCCAUAUGACUACAAGUUACUGAUGGAAAUUCAAACACAUCCUCCUGGGUUUUAUUGCAUGGCUCAAAAAGCCUAACUGCAGUUUUGGCCUCUUGUAUAGCGGCUGUGUAGUGUAACGAGAAGAAAAACCUAAUCACUGAUAUCUUUGUUAAAACUUCUUCACAGAGUGUGGUGCGCACAGUGCAGGAGUGGAUGUGAUGAAUCCUGCAGGCAAACAGAACUGUCCUUGUUUGCAGAAAGGACUGUUUUAGAUUGUAACAGUUAUUGUGCUGCUCAUCCAGUUCACUGCAGAUAUUUUUCCCUUACCAAACUAAUAUUUGAGUUCAAAUGUUCACUCUAAUGUCAGGACCUGAUAUAUUUUUACUUCCCCCUUUCUCUUAAUUUUAUUGAUUUUUUUCUAAGCCAAACAUUCCAUAAAUUAGUUCUAUUAGAAGGCUUAUUGUGGAAUGUGAUAUAAUUGGCAACUGAUUGUUGAUGUAGGAGAUUUAUGUUGGCCUUACAGUAAUAGUUUCUUAUAAUUGAAUACAUAUGUGAUUUCCAGUGUCUAGACUUGGGAACUUUCCCAGGAAGGAGUUCCAGGUGGUUAUCUAACUGUAAUAAGCCAAAUGGCUACCACUCAGUCUGCAGACAUGGGAAAUAUGCAAAUACUACUGGCAAACGUAAUUAUUUCAUAAAUCUGCAUUUAAAUCACAAUAUAUCCAUUUACAUCUAAUGGUUUGACCAGCUUAUUCGUUUUAUAGAUUCAUUUAGAAUCUUUUUUUUUUAAACCUGAAACUUUCUUUCCCUCGAUUACUCCCUAAACUGAAAUAAUAUAAAAUGCAGAGGUGAGAAGUUCUUGAUAUGCCCGGAUGUCAAAAAGCUUUAACUAUGUUACAUGCCUGAGUUAGUUGCAUUAGUAUAUGAAGUAGUAAGUGCUUGAAGUAGCAGUUACAUUGCCAUAUAUUGAACUAAUUCCAUGAAAUCUGAUUAGGUAUAGUUAAGUGACAUGGCAACUUGAGUUUUCAUUUGCUAGCAGACUGAUUUCUGGAAGGAUCUCAGAAAGGAAACGUGUCUGGAAGCUGCACAGCCUACUAAAGCAUGUGGUGAUUUGAUAUUGUCCUGAUCCCAGUUUGCCUUGAACAUGCUUUGCACGCUAAAACAUCCCUGGAGAAGGAAAACACAGUUGGCUAUCCCAGCGUGAAUACUCUGCAAAUAUUGUUCUGGGGCCCGCACAGCCUGUGACUCACAAUGAAUAUUUUCAGCUCUGGUUCUUACAGUACAAUAGGAAAUACAAAGGAAAAUAAGUAAUUUGCUGGGGCCUAACACAGUGUGACUUGAUCAUUGUGCUUCAGAGAACAGAAGAGCUACAUUAGCAGAAGUGAAAAGUCCUUUCAAUUCAGAUUUCAUAUGCCAGAUGGCUGGCUCUUGUUCUUAUGUUUUGGUGGUGGUGGGUUUUUUGUUGUUGUUGUUAUUUUUGUUGUUGUUGUUUUUCCUUUUAUCCUACCUGUUAAGAUAGCAAAGAAUGACAUACGUUAUCUGGCUCUGCAGCCAAGUGUGUGGUCCAAAUUAUUUUCACAGAAUGCCUGGAAAAGUCUGCUUGCUUGCCUGCCUGCCUCAAUCAUUUUUCUCAACUAAUUAGAAAAGUCUGCCAAACAUUUUUGGGCUAAGGCACUAAUUAUUCUCAAACAAAUGUUUCAAUUUUGCACAAGUUAGGAAGUGUCUCUGUAUUAAAUGACUGCAUGCCAAGAUGCCAGAGUAGUCAGUCUGCUUUUGUUUAUCAGUAUGUCUGGAAGUCCUGUAGGACCAAGGAAAAAAACUUAAAAGCACCAUUUUCAAGCAGAGAUCUGUAGUGUUUAGUGAUGUUAAAGGAAAUAAUACUGCAAUACUUACUUUGUACGUGUUAGCUUUUAAUGAGAAAUAGGUCUAUUUUCCUUCUGGAAAUGCUGUUUCUUGUGAUGUUUGUAAUUGCAUUGGUCCUCAGAUUCUGUUGUUUCUGGCAGAGAAUAAAAGGAAAUCUUGUAGUUUUUCAUGCCAGACUGGCCUAUCUAACCCUGUCUCAGCUUUUAUGGCCCAGUCUUCAACACCCUAUUUCAGCAUUAAAGAAGAUGGUCCCUCGUGGCAAGGGCAUUGGAGAGUCAUUCUUUGUAAAAGUUCAAGUUGAAUUUGGCAAUCUGAAGAAAUUUGAAUGGUUUAAUGAGGCCUAUAGCUUGUUUUCCAAGUAAUGGUCUGGACCUGGAUUCUGUGUUUCCCUUCUCGGAAGUGGUGGUGGUCUUCUGGAACAGUCUCAUCCUACCUCAGGUCUGGAAAUGUAUUGGUCAUGCUGAUUUAUUUGUGACAAGGUUCACAGUCUGAUAGUUUGUUAUGUCAGUGAUAAGAUAUAUGCCUCUGAUUAGCUGUAUCUCUGCUGAUGCUGCUAAACUUCUGCCAUCUGUCUUUCAAAUUGUUUGUCCUCAUCCCAAAAGUUGCUCUGUAAGAAGAUGGUAGAUUGCCAUACUUAGGAGUCUUUUUGACUUCUGUUGGAUCUGCCCAUGUAUAACCAACAAAAAAUAGUUUCCACCAACUGCCUUCCUCUGUUUUUUGAAAGUAGGGAAAAUGUUUUUUUUUUGUUUUGUUUUUGUUUUUCCAUGGAAAAAUACUGUUGGAGCAGCCCUCGUGUUAUUUUCUAAAGAUGACGAGAGAAACUCAACAGUUUAUUUCACAGAGUUAAGUGAAAUGAUUUACUUAUGAGCCAAUGAGUUUGUUUUUUAGAUCUGUGCUAGCACAAAAUUGCUGGAUUAAGGUGGUGGGCUUUUUAGUUUUGUUUCUUGAAGCAUAUAUUAAGGGGGAGGACAAAAUGAAAGAAUGAAACCAUCAGAAUGGCAGCAGAACUUGGAACAUUUCAUUACUUGAUUUAUUUCCAGAAGCCACCUGUGCCAAGGCAGAAAAUGUGCUUAAAUACUACAGUAUUUGUACCUCUUUGAACAAUUAUUCGUAUUAGGGUAAUUAAGUAGUCAUAAUUUGUAUUUGAAUAAUGGAUUAUAUGUGUUUUCUUUGCAAUAUUUCCCUUCCUUCUUUAGGGAAAAUAUUGAAUCUGGUUUGUGAGUGCUUUCUACCAUUAAUUACUUUUUGCCCUGAUCUGCACCCACUGGCUUAAUUGCCAUCUGUCUGCAUAGUGUGCAGUGUGUGCUUUUUUAAAAUAAAAUAAUAAUAACAAAUGUAAAUUGUUUGUAAAGAGGAGAUGCAUCACGUGACUCUGAAAAGAGUUGGCUCUGGACAAUGCUGGCUGCUCCUGGCAGUGGCUGUGCUACAGGAGUGCUUGCAGACAGAAGAUGUCAAGUGAAGACAUUGCAAAUAUGGCAUUCCUGGUUCUUUAGCAUGAUGUAGAGCAAAAGACAAAGGGGCUGUGAAUCCUAGAGUGUCUCUCAUGGUUCAGUCCAUAGUCAUCUCCUACAUGGCAAGGAAGCUUUUAAGAAAACAGAGCUUAGAAAACUUUUCUUUUUCUAUUUUGUUCAUUUCCUUCUUGUCCUUUCAGUGCACAGUUAUUUGCUAGAUAAUUCUCCCUGCUGGUUUCAACUCGAUCCUUUUGAGUGCAUGAAUCUUUCUUUUCAACAUCAGUCACACAGUCUAAACCUUGCGAUGACCUCUAAAUGUACUAAACAUUUGGUAACCCUUCUUGGCUUUCUUGACAUUUGGAUGUCUGCGGAUUUAGCCUUCUCUUGAGGGGCAGAGGAACACGGUGGAGGAUCUGAAUUUGUUCAAGGUGGUAGCUGUUAUCCAAGACCAGCAAGGACCUGGUGGCAGCAAGAAUGUCAAGAUACCUAUAGCCAUGCAGAGGCAGCUGCCCAUAGAUGACUUGGAUCUUCAUUUUUUUGUGUGAAAUUGAAAUUUAUGGAUGUCCUCAGAGCAUGUUCUUUCUAGAUGAAAGAGUUGAUGAAGCUUCAAAAGUGGUUCCAUACUCUAGGAGAUGUGUGAUAGUACUGUCCUGGUUUGAGCAACCUGAACUGCAGAUGUCACUCUUCGUGGGAACUCAACCCUUUUGUUGCCUGCAGCAUCGGACUGCACAAACUACACAAUUCUUUACCCCAUGGAAGUGUCAGGAGGAAAUGUGGGCUGUGAUGAUCAAAAACAAAAGACUCUUUGGGAUCUUCGACCUUGUGCAAUUAAAGGUCUCCCUUCAAUACCUACUUCAUCAUUUAAUGUCUGUGGUGCCAAUAAUGUGCUGGUGCUUUGGUAUGGUAUCAACUCCAAGGGAAGAGUGCCACCUACUGAACUACCAGUUCUCUAUUUUGUGACAUAUAUAUCUGCCAGUUUUUCACCCAAAAUACUGACCAAAUCCUGUCUUGUGUAAGACAUGCAAUAUCAAGGCCUUGACAUGGCAUAUCCAAAUGUGUGAUGUUCCCAGUGUGGAUGAGAUCACUGUGCUGUGGCACUUGGAAACAUAAUCCUUUCCUCCUUUGUGGAUGUUUGAACGUGGAUUUUAACACGAUAAUUAUAAAAGACUGCAAUAAAAAUGAAGUUAGUAACAACCCACAUAAUGUUACUGUUAUCUGACCCUGAUUUGAACUCUCCACUGCUAUAAAAGCUAAAAUAUACUGCUAAUGAUUUCUUUGAAAAUAUGCUAAUAAUUAAUGCAUUAUUUCAG